rnacentral:misc_RNA from 1 species
CCGGAAGGUGCGGCUGGAUCACCUCCUUUCUAAGGAGCACCUUCACGCGAAAGCGUGUAAGGGGCCCGCACCACGCGAGUGUCGUGGUGGGGUGCUCAGAGGCGGAGACACUGGCGAAGGUCCUGCGGACAACGGUCUGUGGGUUCUAGUACGGCCGGCCUUUCGGGGUUGGUGUGGAACGAAUCCUGGAUGCGGUUUGUGUGGAUCGUAUAGGCACCCUGUUGGGUCCUGAAACAACCAGCGAUGGUGUGUUUCGGACAUGAAUCCGCGCCGGUGACAGGACCGGGCCCUGAUGGGUCGAGGCUGUCGCUGACAAAACGGUGUCGGGUUUGGUGUUGGUUGAGAAUUGCACAGUGGAUGCGAGCAUCUUUAAAGCUUUGUGGUCAAGUUGCUGAGGGCG